UACGGAGGAGGCAAGCGUUAUCCGGAAUUACUGGGCGUAAAGGGUGCGUAGGCGGUUCGUUAAGUCUGUCGUGAAAUCCCCGGGCUCAACCUGGGAAUGGCGAUGGAUACUGGCGAGCUAGAGUGUGUCAGAGGAUGGUGGAAUUCCCGGUGUAGCGGUGAAAUGCGUAGAUAUCGUGAGGAACACCAGAGGCGAAGGCGGUUACCUGGACAGUUACUGACGCUCAGGCACGAAAGCGUGGGGAGCAAAAGGG
rnacentral:rRNA from 1 species